ensembl:misc_RNA Y_RNA Y RNA
GACUGGUCUGAGUGCAGUGGUGUUUAUAACUAGUUGAUCACAACCAGUUACAGAUUUCUUUGUUCCUUCCCCACUCCUACUGCUUCACUUGACUCGCCUUAA